rnacentral:rRNA from 1 species
UGGGGAAUAUUGCACAAUGGACGGAAGUUUGAUGCAGCGACGCCGCGUGGAGGGUGUAGGCCUUCGGGUUGUGAACUCCUUUUUCUCGCGAAAAAGGCACAGUUUUGGCUGUGUUGAUGGUAGUGGGGGAAGAAGCGCCGGCUAACUACGUGCCAGCAGCCGCGGUAAUACGUAGGGCGCGAGCGUUGUCCGGAUUUAUUGGGCGUAAAGAGCUCGUAGGUGGUUCGUCGCGUCUGUCGUGAAAUCCUGUGGCUUAACCAUGGGCUUGCGGUGGGUACGGGCAGGCUUGAGUGCGGUAGGGGAGACUGGAAUUCCUGGUGUAGCGGUGGAAUGCGCAGAUAUCAGGAGGAACACCGGUGGCGAAGGCGGGUCUCUGGGCCGUUACUGACACUGAGGAGCGAAAGCGUGGGGAGCGAACAGG